AAAGUCGUAACAAGGUUUCCGUAGGUGAACCUGCGGAAGGAUCAUUACCAAGCCGUGAAGGUCGCCUCUUGAAAAAGGGAAUGACCUCUCACCUGGCCACCCUUGAUUACUUUUAACCUGUUGCUUUGGUGGGCCCGCCGCGAGGCCGCCGGGGAAACCUCGGGUUCCCGGGCCCGUGCCCACCAAGGUCUUACCGAACUCUGCAAGAUUUUUGCUGUCUGAGCGUGAAAGCGCAACCUUUUUUAAAACUUUCAACAACGGAUCUCUUGGUUCUG
rnacentral:misc_RNA from 1 species